rnacentral:pre_miRNA from 1 species
AACAUGAUUGCUGGGUAAGUGUGUUGCAUUUUAUAAAAAAUAGUCAAAGUAUUUUCCAGAAUGACUCUACCAUUUUGCAUUCCAGUCAGCAAU